rnacentral:rRNA from 1 species
UACGGAGGGGGCAAGCGUUGUCCGGAAUUACUGGGCGUAAAGCGUGCGCAGGCGGUUCUGAAAGUCAGCUGUGAAAGCCCCGGGCUUAACCUGGGAAUUGCGGUUGAAACUACAGGGCUAGAAUCUGGCAGAGGGGGGUGGAAUUCCACGUGUAGCAGUGAAAUGCGUAGAGAUGUGGAGGAACACCGAUGGCGAAGGCAGCCCCCUGGGCUGAGAUUGACGCUCAGGCACGAAAGCGUGGGGAGCAAACAGG